GCAGCCCUGACCUGGGUGGUGGGAUGUGGGUGACAGAGGCGAGGGGUGAGGCAGGAGCAACAUUUCAGAAGCAGGAAGAAAGGAUAAGUAACAGAUCCCUGACCAGAAAGGGGGAAAUUGGGAGGGGAUCUGAUCUGAGAGAGAGUUGUAUCAGCCUUCGGGGUAUGUGAGGCAGAGAGAGGGCUUCAGGGGACCGAGUGCUGCUUUUCGGUAGCUCAGAACCAGUACAGGAGACAGGCAAGCUCGCCGGAAGCUAGUCUGCAAGGCUGAAUGAAAGGAAGUCACUGAUCUGCUGCAAGAUCACAUUGUUCAAUGCCAGAGGAAGGGGUCUGAAGACUCGCAGCUCGAGUGCAGGGGAGAAAACUGACAGGAGGCUGAGGCUUGGCAGAGCACAGAUAAAGGAAAGGCUGUGUCAAGCACCCUGCAUUUCAAAAGCAUGAGCUGAGGUAUACGGGAGAGAUGGUGGGACACCCAGACUGGCGACUUGCCCACGCGGGUUGAGCUGCCCUUUCAUGGGACUGGAAGGAGCUGCUGGGGAGAGACUUCAUCCCGAGGGGCCUCAAGUCCGGUUCUGAUCACAGCCUAGUGAUGAGAAAGGCAGAGGAGUGCCCGGAGGGUCCUGCAGGCCGGCAGCCAAAUUCAGCGAGAGACAGUUUGUUGGUGGGAGCAUCUGACACUCUCACCGGGGCCCCGAGGGAAAAGCGGGUGUCUGCCUGUGGCUCUGCAGGAGGAGACGAGCUGGGGGAAACGGGGUGACCACUGGUGCUUGGCUCAGCUUCACACUGGGCAGGUGCUGCCCGGGGAUGCUCGGUCCACAUUUGUGCACAUGGACCCAUGUGUAACGCAACGCUCAAACACCCACUGUGUCCAGGGCCCCUGAUCGGCCAGAACAUUUGUCCCCCAAGGUCAUCCUUCAGUGCCCACAGCCUCGUGGAAACGGGCCCUUGGGUGCCCAUUUUGUGAAAGAGGAAAGAGGGGUUAAGUGAUUUUUUCCUAAGAUCACACAGCUUGGGUGUGGUUAAAUCCAGUCUCGGUUCAUCCUCGUCUCCUUUCCUCUCCAGCUGACAUUUUGUGGUUGUUACAAAAAGCCUCGGACAUACACCACAGCUCCCCACCUUGGGCUCGCCCAGCAAGAGGCAGCCCUGGUCAAGAUCAGCUCUUGGCCUGCUCCCCUCUCCAGGAGCAUAGCUGGAGGUGGCUGGAGAAACCACUCCCCCACCUCGCAUGACCAAAUUCAUGACCUUUAGCCUCAGGCAGGCCCAGGGGGUCUGGUCGGUACACGUUCCCACUCUCCCACUCUCUAGUUCAUACCCUCUCCUUUUCAAGCCCCCAUCUCCUGGGAGCACCCAGGGUCCCCGCACGCUCUGUGGUUUAUAGUGGGAAAGACCCAUCUCUGACCAGGAGACAGGUCUGGAGGUCGGGACCGAUGGCUGGGCUGGGCUCCAAACUGUGGCUCCCCCAUCCUGUGUGAUGGAGGGCCGGGCCUGAUCCCUGUGCUGACCACUGCCCUGCCCAGGCCGUAGGGGUUGACUCUGCAGCUCCCCUGACACUAAUUCACAGAUUUACUACGCUCUUUGGGAGUGAAGGUAUUGUGAGAAGAGAUUCCGCUUAUGCCGAGUUUUUCUCUGAACAUGGAGGUGGCUGAAGAACCCGGCACUAAGAAGAAGAAUGAUGUCAUUAGAGCCAGAUCAGUCCUCAGUUAUCAGGGCCCAGCUCUGCCCAGGGUCACAGGGCGAAGUGGGACUAGGCUCCAGUCUCUCCUGACCCCAGGGCCACCGUCCUCUGCUUACAAAGAUAUUAGCAAAAAUCAUUUAAGAGCAUUCCAUUUCUAAUAACAGUCUGGCUCCAUAACUAUUCAUAUCUCAGCAGCUGCUGGAAACAGGCACUUCCUCCCUAGGCUCCAACUCCAGGUGACCUUCCUUAGUGGCCAAAGUCAUUUUUUAAAACCACAAAUCUCAGAGUUGACUCUGGUAGGUUGAGUGUCCACACAGACACGGAGGCAAGCACAUGACAUGUCUCUUGCCCCUUAAACAACAAAAAUCAGGGUGAAGAAGUGACAGAUGUCCAUAAAGUCCCCUCCAUGGAGGAGCUGGUCCACAUGGAGAGGGGUGGAGUUGGUGUCCUUCCGGCAGGGAGACCAGGCUGGGUACUUUGCUGGGAGUGGCACCGCCGGAUUCCCUGGCUGCCUGGAUGCUUGGCAGCCCUGGGAAAACCCAAGUCUGCAGACCAAGAUUUCUCUUUCUGUUAGGUCUCGGGUCUCUGGCAGCUUGCUUUUCUGUCUAGCCCUGUGCCUGCCGGACCAGUUCCCCACCCUUAGCCCUUAGAUGUUGUUAUAACACCUUCCCCACCGCCGCCCUCCUCACUCCAUGGGUGGACGCCUUUUUUGUGAGCUUCGCAAGCACCCUGCUCCCCGAGAGCCCCACUGCAUCCCCAAGACCCCAGAGUCCUGGAGGUUGCAGGGGCCUAGGAAGCAAAGCAGAAGUCUUCAGGGGAGGACGCCCCGGCUGAGUGCCCUCAGGCCACAGGGCCUGGAGUGUCCACUAUGACAGUAACAGGUCUAAGAUUCUAGGCUGAACUGGCAGCCUCUUCAAACUGCUCAAAUGAGACAGUGAUGGGGAGAAGAGGAAUCUGGGGGGGAAAGAGCUCUGAGAUGAGGUGACUGGGGCAGGGUGGAGUUGGGGAGGGCGCAGAUCUGAGGCCCAUUUUUUGUCUCCCACUCUUUGAAAUGACUUUCACACCUUCCCAUCACACCCUUCAAAACUCCCACACCCUAUCUCUCCUCUCUCUCAGCUGCUAUGUUGCUGCCUGUUUGACCAAGAAAAAAAAAAAAAAAACUGUCCCUAUUUUAUCCACAGCCUGUGGACCUCACCCCACUUCCUAGUCAAGGACAUCUCUCCUGCAAUUGACCUCUAUCCACCUGCAUCACGAGGUGUUUCCCUCCCUAGGGGGCUCGUUGUUGAGCAAAUAAAAUCACGCCAGGAGAGUGGGUUUUUAAAAAUCUGUUAUGAUGUGGAUGUAAAAGGCACCCACCCAUUGUAAGCGCAAAGUUAAGAAUUUUGACAAAGGUAUAACCCCAUGUAAUCGCCGCCGCCAACGUCAAGUCAGCGAACAUUUCGUGAACAUUCUCCUUCAACCCCACGAGGUUUCCCACUGCUGAGAAGUGUUCCCUUGUAUGGAUGCAGCGCAGUGUGUCCAGGCCUUGCCUGUUGAUUUACAAUUGGGCUAUUUCUACUUUUUGGCUAUUACGAAUAAAAAAAAAGUACAGUGACUAUGCAAGUA